rnacentral:rRNA from 1 species
UACGUAGGGUGCGAGCGUUGUCCGGAAUUAUUGGGCGUAAAGAGCUCGUAGGCGGUGUGUCACGUCGGCCGUGAAAACCUGCAGCUUAACUGUGGGCGUGCGGUCGAUACGGGCAUCACUGGAGUUCGGCAGGGGAGACUGGAAUUCCUGGUGUAGCGGUGAAAUGCGCAGAUAUCGGAAGGAACACCAGUGGCGAAAGCGGCUUCCUGGUCCAGCACCGACGUUCAGGCACGAAAGCGUGGGGAGCAAACAGG